rnacentral:tRNA from 1 species
AGGAAAUAAAUUUUUAUUAUGGCUGCUAACUUUAAUAAGGGAGUAAAAUUUUCUUCCAUUUCCAA